rnacentral:rRNA from 2 species
CCCGUGAACCUUUACUAUAGCUUGACACUGAACAUUGAGCCUUGAUGUGUAGGAUAGGUGGGAGGCUUUGAAGUGUGGACGCCAGUCUGCAUGGAGCCGACCUUGAAAUACCACCCUUUAAUGUUUGAUGUUCUAACGUGGACCCGUAAUCCGGGUUGCGGACAGUGUCUGGUGGGUAGUUUGACUGGGGCGGUCUCCUCCUAAAGAGUAACGGAGGAGCACGAAGGUUGGCUAAUCCUGGUCGGACAUCAGGAGGUUAGUGCAAUGGCAUAAGCCAGCUUGACUGCGAGCGUGACGGCGCGAGCAGGUGCGAAAGCAGGUCAUAGUGAUCCGGUGGUUCUGAAUGGAAGGGCCAUCGCUCAACGGAUAAAAGGUACUCCGGGGAUAACAGGCUGAUACCGCCCAAGAGUUCAUAUCGACGGCGGUGUUUGGCACCUCGAUGUCGGCUCAUCACAUCCUGGGGCUGAAGUAGGUCCCAAGGGUAUGGCUGUUCGCCAUUUAAAGUGGUACGCGAGCUGGGUUUAGAACGUCGUGAGACAGUUCGGUCCCUAUCUGCCGUGGGCGCUGGAGAACUGAGGGGGGCUGCUCCUAGUACGAGAGGACCGGAGUGGACGCAUCACUGGUGUUCGGGUUGUCAUGCCAAUGGCACUGCCCGGUAGCUAAAUGCGGAAGAGAUAAGUGCUGAAAGCAUCUAAGCACGAAACUUGCCCCGA